rnacentral:rRNA from 1 species
GACGAACGCUGGCGGCGUGCUUAACACAUGCAAGUCGAACGGUAAGGCCCCUUCGGGGGUACACGAGUGGCGAACGGGUGAGUAACACGUGAGCAACCUGCCCUUGACUCUGGAAUAACAGUUGGAAACAGCUGCUAAUACUGGAUAUUCAUCGUCUCCUUCCUGGGGGGUGGUGGAAAGCUCCGGCGGUCCGGGAUGGGCUCGCGGCCUAUCAGCUUGUUGGUGAGGUAAUGGCUCACCAAGGCUUCGACGGGUAGCCGGCCUGAGAGGGCGACCGGCCACACUGGGACUGAGAUACGGCCCAGACUCCUACGGGAGGCAGCAGUGGGGAAUAUUGCACAAUGGGCGCAAGCCUGAUGCAGCAACGCCGCGUGCGGGAUGACGGCCUUCGGGUUGUAAACCGCUUUCAGUAGGGACGAAGGGUGACUGACGGUACCUACAGAAGAAGGACCGGCUAACUACGUG